rnacentral:rRNA from 1 species
AACGAACGCUGGCGGCAUGCCUAACACAUGCAAGUCGAACGAGACCUUCGGGUCUACUUGCGCUUGCGUGCGUCACGCGUGGGAAGCGGCCCGUAUGUUCGGAAUUCCACUCCUAAGGGGGUGCUAACACCGGAUAAUUUCCUCUAACAAAAGAUUUAUCGUCUUUGUGUGGGCCGGCGUUGUAUAAGCUUGUUGGUAGGGUAAAAGCCUACCACGGCUUAGAUCCUUAGCUGGUCAGAGAGACUGAUCAGCGACUCUGAGGCUAAGACCCGGUGCAGAAUCCUACGGGAAGGAGCAGUGGGGGAUAUAGGAAAACGGGCGAAGUGCUGAUCCAGCAAGGCCGCGUGAGUGAUGAAGGCCGGAGGGUUGUAAAGCUCUUUUACCCGGGAUGAUAAUGACAGUACCGGAAGAAUAAGCACCGGCUAACUUCGUG